rnacentral:lncRNA from 1 species
GCUCAGCCCUGGGCGUCUCCAGAGGAGAUGCAAGCCUGCAGGGCGAUUGACUGCAAUUUAAGUAAACUGAUCUGUUAUGAAAUCCAUAGCAAUUCAAUUUAAACUUCACAGGGGUUAUUGCUGAGGACGGACAUGGCUUAAAUAAUAUUGUGAGGAGCCAUAUUUAAAAAAAAAAAGUUCAGGAGGUAGAGAGCAGGGAUCGUGAGCCCUGCCUUCAUCUUUGAAUCACCUGGGUAGAUCUGCAAGUUACUGAUACCUGGGGUCUUUCUUCCAAUCAGCUCAAUAUCCAGUCAAGGAGUGGGUCCAGGCUCCAGGUUUUGACACCUUUCCAAAGUUCCUUCCAUGCUUGUGAUGUGCAGGAAGAACUGAAAGGCCCUGGCCCGGAUGGUGUCUGCGGUUUCUGGCAGGCAGAAGGUUGACUAUCUAUAAGACUUGGUGACAACGGAGUGGGUGGGUGGCCCUUCCAGGUGCAACCAGAACAAGACAGACAGUUGCCUGUGGAUCAGGCCUGGACCGUCACUGCUCUGGAAGCUUUCCAGUAGAAGGGACUAUGUUUUGCCAGCUCCUGCUAUGCCAUUUGGUAUACAGUCUGCUUACGGAGGUGACACCUGCUGACCUUGCGUGUUUGAGAGCCACCCAUUCUGAAGGCUAUAGUGUUCUGCUCACCACCUACAAUUACCGUGACUAAAAAUACUUCGGAGUGAGGAGAGUCUUCAAGGGGACUUGGCGCCCAGACUACACUGUUCCUAUUUUGGUACUAUGUCUCAAGGCCACAGCCUUGCUACUGCUGAGCCGCGCAUCGCCAGUAAGGCAUUGCACUUCAGAAUUCAUGGAAGCCUUGUGAUUAUGUCUCUUUCCCCCAAAAUGGUGCCCACUAGAGAUCUUCCAGAUAAUUCCAUCACGACUUAGCCACCAUGUGCAGAAAAAGCAACUUCGUAGACAUCAGGGUGAUCAAACAGGCCGAGAAGACACCAUACCCUCUUCUUCUUCUGCUGUCUUGAGCACCUUGUGUCCGUUCACUCAGCACGAAUCCAUCUUAGCAAUAAAUCCCCCAC